rfam:Schistosoma mansoni strain Puerto Rico chromosome W, complete genome
GCACGGUUGAGGAGUCCCAUAAUAGGACGAAACGGCCGUCCAGUGC